rfam:Agrilus planipennis Contig16383, whole genome shotgun sequence.
AGGUAGAGGGAUUUUAGCCGGUAGGUCCGAGGACACCUUCCUCGGGAAUCCGACACUACCCAGUCGUACGGACGGCUGGGUGUCUUUUGAAGAUUUCCCUUCUCCC